GUUCCCUACUUCCUGUGCUCUUGCGGAGACGCGCGCGUCGGGGUUUAACGCGUUUCUGGGCCGCCGUAAGCCCGGCCUAGGGGCAGCUUUGACUCGAGAGCCGGCUAUAGGCGCAUGGAAGGUUCCCUGGAACGGGAGGCGCCAGCGGGGGCGCUGGCCGCCGUGCUAAAGCACAGCUCGACGUUGCCGCCCGAAAGCACCCAGGUCCGGGGCUACGACUUCAACCGCGGUGUGAAUUACCGCGCACUGCUGGAGGCCUUCGGCACCACCGGCUUCCAAGCAACCAACUUCGGGCGCGCUGUACAGCAAGUCAAUGCCAUGAUCGAGAAGAAGCUGGAACCACUGUCACAGGAUGAAGACCAGCACGCGGACCUGACCCAGAGCCGCCGCCCACUUACCAGCUGCACCAUUUUCCUGGGAUAUACAUCCAACCUCAUCAGUUCAGGCAUCCGUGAGACCAUUCGCUACCUUGUGCAGCACAACAUGGUGGACGUAUUGGUGACCACAGCUGGCGGCGUGGAGGAAGACCUCAUCAAGUGCCUGGCGCCCACAUACUUGGGCGAGUUUAGCCUCAGGGGGAAGGAGCUCCGGGAGAACGGGAUCAAUAGGAUCGGAAACCUGCUGGUGCCCAAUGAGAAUUACUGCAAGUUUGAGGACUGGCUGAUGCCCAUUCUGGACCAGAUGGUGAUGGAGCAGAACACAGAGGGUGUAAAGUGGACGCCUUCUAAGAUGAUCGCCCGGCUGGGCAAGGAGAUCAACAACCCAGAGUCCGUGUAUUACUGGGCCCAGAAGAACCACAUCCCUGUGUUUAGUCCCGCACUUACAGACGGCUCGCUGGGCGACAUGAUCUUCUUCCAUUCCUACAAGAACCCGGGCCUGGUCCUGGACAUCGUUGAGGACCUGAGGCUCAUCAACACACAGGCCAUCUUUGCCAAGUGCACUGGGAUGAUCAUUCUGGGCGGGGGCGUGGUCAAGCACCACAUUGCCAAUGCCAACCUCAUGCGGAACGGGGCCGACUACGCUGUUUACAUCAACACAGCCCAGGAGUUUGAUGGCUCUGACUCAGGUGCCCGACCAGACGAGGCUGUCUCCUGGGGCAAGAUCCGGGUGGAUGCACAGCCCGUCAAGGUCUAUGCUGACGCCUCCCUGGUCUUCCCCCUGCUUGUGGCUGAAACCUUUGCCCAGAAGAUGGAUGCCUUCAUGCAUGAGAAGAACGAGGACUGAGCGGCUGCGGUCCCAGGAAGGAGCCGCAAUGUGGAGUCCAGGCUGGACACCAGGGUGCACUGCCCAUCCCGGCUGAAGCAGGCUGGAGUGCAAUGGCAUGAUCUUGGCUCACCGGAACCUCUGCCUCCCGGGUUCAAGAGAUUCUCCUUCCUCAGCCUCCCGAGUAGAUGGGAAUACAGGCAUGCACCACCA